GAUCCUGGCUCAGGAUGAACGCUAGCUACAGGCUUAACACAUGCAAGUCGAGGGGCAUCAGGAAGAAAGCUUGCUUUCUUUGCUGGCGACCGGCGCACGGGUGAGUAACACGUAUCCAACCUGCCCUUUACUCGGGGAUAGCCUUUCGAAAGAAAGAUUAAUACCCGAUGGCAUAAUGAUUCCGCAUGGUUUCAUUAUUAAAGGAUUCCGGUAAAGGAUGGGGAUGCGUUCCAUUAGGUUGUUGGUGAGGUUAACGG
rnacentral:rRNA from 1 species